AGAAGAGACCAGAGAACCAGCUCCAACCUUUCCACCACGUGAAGACACAAGGAGAAAUCGGCAGGCUGCAACUCAGAGGGCCCUUACCAGAACCCAGCCAUGCUGCAUCCUGAUCUUAGAACUGUGAGAGGUGCCAGAUUGGAAUAACAUCAUGUCCCACAAUUUCUGUACCUUUCUCUGAGUUAAAGUGCUUACUAAGAGGGGGCAGGGAAUCACGAUGCCAAGCUAGACAAGGACUAUCGACACCCAGUGGGACUCGGUCAUCUGGGACGGACAGCGAGUUCAAGGUACUCCCGACCAUACAGGACAGCGAUAGGCAGCAGACAAAAAUGUUUCACCACGAAGAGAAUUCAUUUAAGCAUGCAUUUGAGGUAGAGUCUCCUAAUUAAGUCAACUUUAACACAGACACGCAAAUGGCACCAUGCUAUGUGUCUGGCGCCUAAACAUCGUCUGGUGAGCCCAAAGGAAGUCGGGCAGCAGCAGGCCAAGGAGACAGUGAAUGCGUGCAGCCUCUCUUCCUGUGACCUUCCUGCUGGAGAGAGGUUUGUCUGUGGGGGGCUGGAGGGCUUCCCAUGACUUGGCUUGUACCUAGAUGGACCAGGCUAAGAUUUGGACCUUUUGACUUUGCUCGGCCGCUCAGUUGGUCUGGGGGAGGCAGGGCCAGGGCUACUGGGCCCCUCUAAUUCAAGCACAGGUUUUGGUAAGUUGGAACAAUUGAAAGUCAAAGGGAGAAUUCAGGUCGAAUGCUAUGGAAUGGCCUUAGGUUUUCUGGGUUAGAGAAGAUUCCAGAGGGCUUUGUCAUGGAUGAAAUGGGACUCGGUGGGGUACAAUGGGGAGUGAAGCAUUUACAAAGAUCUACAAAGGUGGUAUUAUUUUUUACAAGAAAAGCAAGUUGUUAGCAACUGGAGUUGUCAAUAUUUUAGGUAGUCCAAAGUGGCAAUGUUAAAGGGACACCCCUUUCCCUCAGGGACUGUUGGAGGGUCAGUUAAUAAUCAUAGAGUUAACAAUUAAAACCCUGCUAAGGGAUCCAAUUAUAUACCUUCAGUUCAGGUAAACCAAUUUAAUUCUAGCAGUUCUGCUGAGAGGGCCGCUUGUAAGGUGGAUUGAAAAAGGUAAAAAAAAAAAAUUCUGGAAAAUGAGUUUAUAUUUAUAUAUAGUAGUUACCCCACCCCUUAUCCUCAGGAGAUGCUUCCCAAGACCCCCAAUGGGUGCCUGAAACCACAGACAGUACCAAACCCUAAACUGACUACAUUUUUCUAUAUAUACAUAUAUAUCAUAAAGCUUAAUUUAUAAAUUAGACACAGUAAGAAACUAAUAACAAUAAAAUAACAGUUAUACCAACACAUUGUAAUAAAAUGUUUAUAAAUGUGAUUUCUAUCUCUCUCUCAAAAUAUCUUAUUGUACCCUAUUCUUUUUGUGACAAUGUGGGAUGAAACCAUGCCUAUGUAAAGAGAAAAGUGAGCUAAAUGACAUAGGUAUUGUGAUGCAGUCUUAGACGACUACAUCAGGCUACUACAUAUUGAUAACUCCAACACAAGCAUUGCCAUACCUUGACAGUCAAUCUGAUAUCCCAGACAGCUAAGAAGUGACUAACGGGCAGGUAGCAUACAUAAUAUGGAUACAUUGGACAAAGGGAUGAUUUAUGUCCCAGCCGAGACAGGGUGAGAUGACAUGAGAUUUCUUCACACGACUCAGGUCAGUGCAUAAUUUAAAACUUGUGAAUUGUUUAUUUCUGGAAUUGAUCAAUUAGUAUUAGACAAAAGUAAAUGGAAACUGCAGAUAAGUGUAGACUGCUGUAUAAAAUUGGCCGAACAAUUGAGCGGUAAACUAUUAAUGAUCACAUAAGGCAAAUGACAAUGUGGUAGAACUAACCAAGCCAAUAAUCAGUUAUCAAUGAAAAACGAGUCUAGAACAGGAAUAUUUAAAACAUUUAAAUGUUUAAAGUAGCUGAACUAAGCCUUUGAAUUAUAUAAGAUAUGGUAAUACUAAUUGUUCUUUUACAAUAUUCCUUACCCAAGUUGUGGUGUGAUAUAUAAGAUGGCGCACACACACUUCCUUAGCAUCUCUUAUAGAAAGGCACCCGGAGGUAUACUGAAUGGCUACUGGUUUCUGUCCUUUAUGUAUCCAAGUUCUCAGAGGGGACAGGCUGCAGCUCUCAAGAGCCAUGGGUGAUAGAGAAGACUGUGGAGUGGACCGAAGAUUUUGCCAGGCAAUGCAGUCUUGGGAGGAGAGAGGCCGGGUCCCUGGUUCUGAUGAAUUCCGCCGGCCAGCACCUCCAGUGGAAGCCACAAAACAGGUGCUAACCAACUGGGAAAUGUCAGGAGGAGAGUCAUUAUCCCCAGCUCCCAGCAGGACUCAAGACCUAGAAAUCAACCCCAUGGCUCUUAACCAGCAUGGAAACCCACCACCACGGUGACAAGGUCCAGCUGGGGCCAUGGUGGAUUUGAAAAGGAACAUGGGGACCCCAGAGCUCGGGGCUGGCUAGCUGCUCAUAUUCAUCCUCCAAUAGCAUGACCUUUCAUUUUACAUAACUGAAUUUGUUGGAUUCCACUCAUGGCAUGAUAGCAGAUUUUCAUUAUGUAUUUUUCUUUCUUUUAAGAGUACAUUCUGUUAUAAGAGUAAUAUAUACAUU